rnacentral:rRNA from 1 species
CCUACGGGUUGCAGCAGUAGGGAAUCUUCGGCAAUGGACGAAAGUCUGACCGAGCAACGCCGCGUGAGCGAAGAAGGUUUUCGGAUCGUAAAACUCUGUUGUUAGAGAAGAACAAGUAGGAGAGUAACUGCUCUUACCUUGACGGUAUCUAACCAGAAAGCCACGGCUAACUACGUGCCAGUAGCCGCGGUAAUACGUAGGUGGCAAGCGUUGUCCGGAUUUAUUGGGCGUAAAGCGAGCGCAGGCGGUCUUUUAAGUCUGAUGUGAAAGCCCUCGGCUCAACCGAGGAAGGUCAUUGGAAACUGGAGGACUUGAGUGCAGAAGAGGAGAGUGGAAUUCCAUGUGUAGCGGUGGAAUGCGUAGAUAUAUGGAGGAACACCAGUGGCGAAGGCGACUCUCUGGUCUGUAACUGACGCUGAGGUGCGAAAGCAUGGGGAGCAAACAGGAUUAGAUACCCUGGUAGUC